rnacentral:rRNA from 1 species
GACGAACGCUGGCGGCGUGCUUAACACAUGCAAGUCGAACGAUGACGCCCGAGCUUGCUCGGUCUGAUUAGUGGCGAACGGGUGAGUAACACGUGAGCAACCUGCCCUUCACUCUGGGAUAACCUCGGGAAAUCGGGGCUAAUACCGGAUAUGAGCUCCUGUCGCAUGGCGGGUGUUGGAAAGUUUUUCGGUGCAGGAUGGGCUCGCGGCCUAUCAGUUUGUUGGUGAGGUAGUGGCUCACCAAGGCGAUGACGGGUAGCCGGCCUGAGAGGGCGACCGGCCACACUGGGACUGAGACACGGCCCAGACUCCUACGGGAGGCAGCAGUGGGGAAUAUUGCACAAUGGGCGAAAGCCUGAUGCAGCGACGCCGCGUGAGGGAUGACGGCCUUCGGGUUGUAAACCUCUUUCAGCAGGGAAGAAGCGAAAGUGACGGUACCUGCAGAAGAAGCGCCGGCUAACUACGUG